rnacentral:rRNA from 1 species
CCUGAACGCUGGCGGCGUGGCUAAGACAUGCAAGUCGCACGGGUGUAGCAAUACACCAGUGGCGCACGGGUGAGUAAUGUAUCGCUAAUGUGCCCCGGAGACAGGGAUAGCCAUCCGAAAGGGUGGGUAAGACCUGAUGAUAUAACUUUGUCGCAUGGCAGAGUUCUCAAUUACAGCAAUGUGCUCUGGGAGCAGGCGAUAUCGUAUCAGCUAGUUGGUGAGGUAACGGCUCACCAAGGCGACGACGCGUAGCUGGUCUGAGAGGACGACCAGCCACAUCGGGACUGAGACACUGCCCGGACUCCUACGGGUGGCUG